UAAUGCUUUAUCAAGAAGCAUUUCUCAAUUUACAGUUGCAUUUUGUAGAUUAAGCGAUUACGAGGGUAACUGUCUUCAUUUUAUAAGGCAUUCAAGCCCCGUCUUGUAUACCGUUAUAAACAUAGUAUCAAAUGGUCCGGGGAAGACACAGGGGACGAGCACCGGUUUCAGGUUACACCGCUAACACUAACGGAGAUACAGCGUCAUCCAAGCGGGAAAAGGACCGUGAUUGUUCCCACAAACUCUUGGCUUGCUGAGACAAAAGAUAUCUCCGACCGUAGACAGAGAUGGAGGAAGUUUGUCUUUGUGGUGAGUUGUCAGCGAUGAGAUCCCUGAGAAAGCAAGGCUACCCCGAUUAAAAAACCCCUCAACACAGUGACUAAUUGAAUAACAGAAAAUUAUACAAGGUGCUAGGUGAAUUUCCUUGUGGUGUAUAUGUAUCCAGGACCACGAGGCACAGAUCUGCAGUCUUAAUCCCAGGCAAACACAACCUUUCAACUAGAGGAUAUUAACUAAAACUUUUUGUCAAUUCCGUGAUAAGGCAUUUCCACAA